UCGACGUCGACGCAGUGUUCGCUGCUGCCACCGCUGCUGCACUCGCCGACGUCAGU
rnacentral:pre_miRNA from 1 species